AAAAUGCGAUACGUAAUGUGAAUUGCAGAUUUCAGUGAAUCAUCAAAUCUUUGAACGCAACUGGCGCUUAAGGCCAAUUACCUUAAGCACACUUGUUUGAGUGUCGGUGAAUAUCUUAUUCAUUCAAUACUGAGUUUCAAUCUUUUCUUUGAAAGGAUCGUUACUUUAAAGAUUUUAAAGGAAUCAUUAAUUACAUACUACUUUAAUGUAGCAAAGAUUUUAAUCUUAAUACAUUUUGGUAUUAGAAAUUAAUUGAUUAAUUUUUAUUCUUUAUCUCGACCUCAAAUCAAGUGAGAUUACCGGCUGAACUUAA
rnacentral:misc_RNA from 1 species